AACCAUUCGGUGACAGUAGGGUCGGGCAUCGUUUGGAUUAUGACCAUUCUGAUUCUGAUUCUGAUUCUCCCUUUCGAUUCCGGUUAUUAUCCAUUCUCUAUUC